rnacentral:rRNA from 1 species
UACAGAGGUCCCGAGCGUUGUUCGGAUUCACUGGGCGUAAAGGGUGCGUAGGUGGUGAGGUAAGUCGGAUGUGAAAGCCCGGGGCUCACCCCCGGAAGUGCAUUGGAAACUGAUGGGCUGGAGUCCCGGAGAGGAGGGUGGAAUUCCUGGUGUAGCGGUGAAAUGCGUAGAUAUCAGGAGGAACACCGGUGGCGAAGGCGGCCCUCUGGACGGUGACUGACGCUGAGACGCGAAAGCGUGGGGAGCAAACAGG